UAAUUUACGUAUUCGCAUCAUUUAACGUUCUGCUAUCUCGCGUGCAGUUUUAAAAUUAAAACGUUCACAGCGUAAUACCUCCGUAAUGAUUUUUUCAUUCAUAAAUACACAAAAUCAGAUCUGUCUCAUUAAACAACAUCCUAACACAUCCGAAUUAUUUAUGGGCACAACGAUAAAAUGUUAAACGGUCCAAUUAGCGCGUUAAAAAGUCGACAACGAAAAAAAAAUCUCAAAGACACAGUUCUCUGAAAAUGUUCUAUUUUCGAACGAGAGAGAGAAGUACGAGUAGGUAGCGAUGGUGCUCCAUUUAGAGACAAAAACGAAGACGGGACAAUGAAUAUAAGUAAAUGCAUUAAUGGUACAGAAUCCGAUUCCGAACAUGAUUUUAUCUUGGAUGACGGUAAAUGCAAUAUCACCGAUAUUGAGUCUUCGGAAGAUGAUUGAACAUCCCUGUCCACUUCAAAGAACAAAAACAAAAAAACAAAAACUAACAAGUUUUUGAGCUAAGUAUAUACUUAUAUGAAUAGAUGUGUAGGUACAUUGAAUUUUGUUAAGAUAAAUGUAAUUAUUGUGAAAAUAUAAACUUGGGAGUUUCCUUUUAA